rnacentral:lncRNA from 1 species
UGGACGCGGAGGAUGCAGGACAGUCGCUGCGAAUUUUUAGGACUUUCCAGUUCCAGUUUAGACCUGAAUGUGACGGGUUUGUGUUGCUGUUUGGCAUUCGUAAUUCAAGGAAAUCCCUUCUUCUGGUUGAAAGCACGGUGUCAUUCCCUGGCCUUCCUGCAUCAGCAUCACCUGGAUAAUACAACCGGCAAAUAACCGGAUCCUGCUACAGAUCUGGUGAAUCAGAAGCUGGGGGGGGGGGGGGGAGGGCAGUAAUCUAUGUUUUAAAAAUGCUCCAGGUAGUUUUGGUACACGCUGAAUUUUGAGACUGCUGCUAAGUAUUGUGUUUCCCUUAAUUCAGGUGCUGGAAGUGACACCUCAAAUGUCAGCUGAGCUAACCCAAGCUGCUUACCUUCAAGGUCGUCACCAGAGCCAAAACAGUGCUUAGGCUUUACCCACUCAGACUUCGAUGCCAGAAGAUAAAGUGAAAAAUAUAUGUGUGUCUAAAAAGGAGAGAUCUCGGGGAAUGAUUUGGGUCAACAAGGAAUGUGGAAUUCCAUUUCUCCACAAAUUUUAUUGAUCCUAACAUCUCAUUUACAGACUUUUUGCCCUCCUCAUUUAGACUUCUCCAGCAAACAUAGUCCAUGGUAAAUAAUGAUUCUCUGUAGGCCUGUAACAGCAGUAAAUUCUAUUUUCAUAAUUAAAACAACAAAUAAAACGAAAAUGCUAGAACACUGUUUAGUUUCUUCUUCUUCGCUAAGGCUCUCCUUCUAAUGAAUCCGUGAACACCAAACCAGGAUGGGUUAAAUUCGGGCAGAAUAUUCAUACUAAUCAAUCCUUCUCAGGCAGAUCACUUUUCAUACUUCAUAAUUCUAUGGCUGAUUCACUUUUCAGUUACUGUUUGCAUUCAUUUCUUCUCUGCAUUCAUAUCUCUCCCCAAUUGAAGAAAUAAAAAGGGUUUGUUAGGUGCCAUUUUGCCAUCAGCCUUACUAUUUGAUGUACAAGAAAGAUUUUUUUUGUUUUGUUUUGUUUUUUACAUGUGGUUGUAUAAUGAAUCUCUGCUCCAAUAUUACCUACACUUUAGUCAUUUUUAGCAUGAACACAUAAUGACUCAAACCAGUAAAGAGAAACCUGGACAAUAAGAUCUUUGUUCCAAAUCCUCCAGUUAUCCUUCCACAGGUGGAAUUCAAGCAGUUCAAAGGCUUGCAUUUUCUUCUUUUAGUUUCUGACCUGAAGAGAAUUGGCCCCUCUGAUUUCAUUUUAAUUCAAUGACUAAAGAAAUCUAAUACUUGUUAACAUUGGCUAAGCACUUACAAAAUUAUUUCAAGACUGAUUUAAGAGCUUUGCAUGAAUUAUCUUAAUCCUUAAAAUAGCUCUAAGAAGUAGUAUACUAUUAUUUUUGUUGUGUAGAUGUGGAAAGUGAGACUCAGGAAUGCUGUCUCUCAUUCUUUUGAGCCAUUGCAACAACUCACCUCUGGCCCCUGUCCCUGUUGUUAUAUGUGUACUUUAACUCGUUAUGAUUGCUGUAAAUCCUAAUUGAGAGCCUACUGUGUGUCUGGAACAGCCUUAGGCAUUGGGGAGUCAGCAGCAAAAAAGACUAACUCUGCCCAAUGGACCUUAGAGCCUGGAGAAUGGGAAGAGGAAACCAACAAUAUGCAAAUUCAUGUCAGUUAUGCUAAGGGUAAUGAAGAAGAAUGAACAGAACAAGUUAAGAGCUGGAUUGAAGGGCAACAUGUGCAUUUGCUGGUCAGAGAGUGUCUCCCAGAUGUGGUAACAUUGUAACCAUCCACUCACCCCCAAACCCAAGAAAUGUGAGGCGUAUUUGAGGUACGUAAAAUGUUCUAUUCCCAGCUGGAGGGUCAAACUCAUAACAAGGUCUAGCUCUUCAUCUCCCUCUUUUCCCUCUGCUUUCUCCAACUAUCUUCCUCUGUGCCUUCCCCUUGGUCUUCAGGCUCUGGCGCUCCCUUUCGCAGUAGCCAUUUGCUUCUUCCAUUCUUCUUCUCAGCUCUCACCUUCUUUCUUCUCCCUAUUCCUAAAAAAUAGCCACCAUUUGGCUGUGAUACUUUUAUUGUUUUGUAUUUAUGAAAUGCAGCUUAACAUUCACGGUUAAACUUUUAGACAAAAUUCGAAAACGUUAGUCCUUCACUUUUCUACAAUUCCUGUUCCCUUUCCACGGUAGCAAUUUCAUGGUUGGUGAAAGGAAAGGUCAGUCAAGUGCCGCUGUCCAUGUAAAGCAAAGGGAGCGUUUCCUUCUAUGUAGCGCUGUGUGCCCACGCCACCAAAAUGAAGGUUAAGAACUCUGAACUUUCCCCAGCGUGAUCGCCACCUCUCCUAAGUCUUCUUUGCUGCCGCCAGGGUGUGGAGGGCAGUGGGAGUAUAAGUCAAGGAGGAGACUGCUGAAGUUGUUC